rnacentral:rRNA from 1 species
AUUGAACGCUGGCGGCAGGCCUAACACAUGCAAGUCGAACGAGUGGCGGACGGGUGAGUAAUGUCUGUGAAACUGCCCGCUGGAGGGGGAUAACUACUGGACCCGGUAGCUAAUACCGCAUACCAUCGGAUGUGCCCCGAGGGGAUUAGCUAGUAGGUGGGGUAAUGGCUCACCUAGGCGACGAUCCCUAGCUGGUCUGAGAGGCUGACCAGCCACACGGGAACGGAGACAAGGUCCAGACUCCUACGGGAGGCAGCAGUGGGGAAUAGUGCACAAUGGGCGCAAGCCUGAUGCAGCCAUGCCGCGUGUAUGAAGAAGGCCUUCGGGUUGUAAAGUAAUUUCAGCGAGGAGGCGUUACUCGCAGAAGAAGCACCGGCUAACUCCGUGCCAGCAGCCGCGGUAAUAC